GCACAAAAUUAAAGAUUAGCGGUUCUGUAAGUGAAACAAAUGUCAGUUUACUUCGAGAGCCGCACAGGUGGAAAAACUACAACUCCCAGAAUUCCCCUGAGCACGAGCGGUCGCUGGUUUCCGCGCAUGCGCACAGGGAGCUCCGCUGGACAUGAAGCAGCGCGUGAAAAGAUGCAUAAAUUGAAGUUGUCCCAGAAGGAAAAGAUCCGUCAGUUUAUGUCCUUCACGCGGGCCGCAGAGAGAACCGCCCUCUACUGCCUGACCCACAAUGACUGGAGACUAGAGACGGCCACCGAUAACUACUUCCAGAACCCUGAUAUCUACCGAAGAGACUCCAUGAAAACAGCAGUGGAUCGCAAGAAGCUGGAUCAGCUGUACAACCGCUAUAAAGAUCCACAUGAUGAGAAUAAGAUCGGCAUCGACGGGGUCCAGCAGUUCUGUGACGACCUCAUGCUGGAUCCAUCCAGUGUCAGCAUCCUGAUUGUGGCGUGGAAAUUUAGAGCGGCGACGCAGUGCGAGUUCAGCCGCAAAGAGUUCCUGGAUGGCAUGUCAGAGCUGGGGUGUGAUAGUCCAGAGAAGCUGAAGAGUCUUUUACCCAGACUAGAGCAGGAGCUGAAGGAUUCUGGGAAGUUCAAAGAUUUCUAUCAGUUCACGUUUAGCUUUGCCAAGAAUCCUGGUCAGAAGGGUUUAGAUCUGGAGAUGGCCGUGGCCUAUUGGAAUCUCAUUCUCACCGGACGCUUUAAGUUUCUCGACCUCUGGAACACUUUCCUUCUGGAGCAUCAUAAAAAAUCCAUCCCUAAAGACACUUGGAACCUGCUGCUGGACUUUGGAAACAUGAUUGCAGAUGACAUGUCCAACUAUGACGAGGAGGGUGCGUGGCCGGUGCUCAUUGAUGACUUUGUGGAAUUUGCUCGGCCGAUCGUGACUGCAGAAAAUCACAAGACUCUAUAAUGAGUGCUUACAGGGAGGCCUCUCUAUACUGAAUUUUUUAAUAAAAAAACAACAAAUGCAUUUAAAAAUAUAUAUUAUUAAACGGAGAGAGUUUGUACAUUAUGAGUCUGCUGCUGGCAAGAGGCUGAAGAUCAGCGGCCUCCCAGGCUGAACUACAUCACCAUGAUCACGUGUGCGCUGUCAUCACUGAACUUCUGAAUCUGUCUAGCCUCAUAGCACACUUAUACCAGUGUGUUUCCCAUGAGUCUCGGCGUCUGUGUUAUCGGAGGAAUAUUUAAAUCAGAUCACCCUCUGUGUCUGCUGUUAGUCUGGAUGAGUUUCUAACACGGUUUUUAUUUUCUUCACUUUGUGAUAUUCGUCAUAUCACGGUGUCAGUUCAGUUCACCUCAUCAUAUCAGUGUUAUGUAUGUAUGUAAAUAAAAGUUAUUUAACAAAACUCAUUCUCCACUGUCAUUAUGUUAAUGCUGUGGCACGAGUAUGAAUUGAUAAUCUGAUGUGUCACCAAAUUCACAUUAUUAUCAAC